CAAGCAGACACAAAACUAAAAUGUCUUUGAUCAUGUUUAAAAUCAACUUUCUCAACACAUGUAAAAUGACUUGGUCAAGAUAAAAAUGUUUACAUGGAAAAUGGUUUUCAUGGCUUGAACUGCUGUGUUCAUGUAAACAGUAUUUUAAUAAUUCAUGUCUGUAGAUCCUGCAGGUCAUAUAGUUCCUGUAAUGCUGACCCUGGCAGUUUUCUCAGCAGUGUGUGUGGCUGUAAUCUGCGCUCAAACCAUUUUAAUCCAUAAACUGAGAAAAUCUGAAUGCCGUGCUGGUGAAAAAGCUCAAGAGGGGGCUGUGAAUGAGAGGACCACCAGACAGGAACAAAAUCCUGAGAACCUGCAUUACGCUGCCAUCCACAUCAGAGAAGAGAAGAAAGCCAAAGGUGGGAGAGUGAAGAGAGAAGAGCCUGAAGACGUUGUUUACUCUCACGUGAGAAGCUCCAAUGCUGCUGCUCAGCGCUCACAUCGCUAGUUUCCUAAGAUGAUCAUGAGUGAAGAUUUGGACUUUUUCACGUCUCAAAUGAGCUCCAGUCUAUAAUCUGUAGCUUUUAUUUCUUGUUAGUGAUUGUUUUGCUGAUUGAAAUGAAGUCUCGGUUCUCUGAAGGAUGAUGUGAGAACUGAGCUUUAGAGCAUGUGGUCACUAUGAUCACACAGACUGAUGGGCUCUGAUACUGCAUUGUCUUCAUGUGAGUUAUUGAUAUUGGCCAGAAACUUAUGCCUCAAAUAAUGCAUAACAAAUGACAGUGAUGUGCCACAGUCUAAGCACCUCAGGUUAAACGACGUUCAAACGUCUGCAUACAACUGUAAGCUUGUAAGUGGUUUAGCUUCAGAUAAGUAGCUGAUGACCAAUUGGUCAUUCACUUUAAAUUAAUAGUUUGUUUUUCUACCCCAAGU
ensembl:lncRNA